UGGGGAAUUUUCCGCAAUGGGCGAAAGCCUGACGGAGCAAUGCCGCGUGGAGGUAGAAGGCCCACGGGUCGUGAACUUCUUUUCUCGGAGAAGAAACAAUGACGGUAUCUGAGGAAUAAGCAUCGGCUAACUCUGUGCCAGCAGCCGCGGUAAGACAGAGGAUGCAAGCGUUAAUCGGAAUUACUGGGCGUAAAGCGUGCGCAGGCGGUUAUAUAAGACAGUUGUGAAAUCCCCGGGCUCAACCUGGGAAUUGCAUCUGUGACUGUAUAGCUAGAGUACGGUAGAGGGGGAUGGAAUUCCGCGUGUAGCAGUGAAAUGCGUAGAUAUGCGGAGGAACACCGAUGGCGAAGGCAAUCCCCUGGACCUGUACUGACGCUGAGACGCGAAAGCGUGGGGAGCAAACAGGAUUAGAUACCCGCGUAGUCCCUGAGCGGGCUGGCAAGGCGCAU
rnacentral:rRNA from 1 species